AGGAAAUACCAGAAGGUUCAACCAUGUACAAUUGUGGUCCAUCUCUGUCAUAACCUCCUAGUAUGACACCACAUCCAAAAGGUCUGUGAAAUCGCCAACAAUAUAGUGUGCAAAGGUGCACAUAACUAGCCACGCGUUCAGCAAGUUCCUUAACAGGAAUAGGUUCUCCAUACACACUGCAAAGAAAAAUAAGCUAGAAAUGAAUAUUAUGUAACGGAAAGAUAUUGAUCUUUGGAAAAGUCUAGAAGGCCAACAACUUUAUUAAAUACUGGCCAGCAUGUAACCAG